CGCACCUCUGCAGCUCGGCUGACUGUCGCGGCGACGGGGUGGCCAUCUCGUGCGCCUGAUUUGGCUCCCUGUAAGCCUCCUCGAUCUGCCAGGCCGGUCAAUGGCGAUGUAGGAUUAGCAGGGCUCAAUGAGAAGCUACGCAAUGGAGAAGGCUAGCUUGUCGAUCUUGACAGUGCUGCUGUCGUCGGCGUCCUUGGUGGCGAUGUGGGCGUGGAUCUUGUCUCCCACAUCCUGCUUGAAUCCACCUCGAUUGUGAGGAUGCUGGUGGUGUUGUCUUCUAUCGCAUCGUGGACGUCCCGGAGCGAGGCGCCCCGGCAGGUCAUCUUCAUCCUCGACAGUGGAAGCCUGACUUCGGUGGCUCAUUCUUCACCUGCAGGUUCAUAGGUGCAUAACUGCACUGUGCGUGGUUCGCCUUUACCUUCAGAUGGUACUUACUGGAGGCUCGCUCCAUGGACCGAUGGCACAAUUGAGGAUAUUCAGGCACUUGCUUGUGAGAGUUCUUUUUCUAUUUUGAGGGAAAGCCAUCAUGGUCGUGUAUAUUUAUUUGGAGUAAUAGCUACAUCAUCUGCAAAAACGACAAGUAAAAAGCUGGAGGGUUGCCUGUGAUGGGUACAAAUCUAAUCUAUCAUGGGUUUUGUUUAUGGGGCCAUGAGAUUGAUUGUGAGAUUGGUGUAAACAAUAUGUGAUGGACUGUAAGAUUGAUCCUGAGAUUACUGUAUAUGGUAUUAGGAACAAAAUCAAUAGAGAAUACAUGCAAAUGAUCAA